CCGUUUCAUUCUGUUUAAUUUCAUUUUUUAUUUUCCAGGCUGCUUGUGUUUAUUCCUCAAACACUCGAGUGGUCAAUGCGUGCGUAGUGCAAAAACAGCUUAUCUCUCGACGCAAUUCGCUCAUAUCUGGUAUUUACAACUAACUAACGAUUGUUCAGCGCCCGAAGCUCAGUUUCGUUUUAUAAACCACGGAGUUUUACAACACGUUUCCUCGAGUGGCUGCGUGCUUCCAACAGAUGCCAAAGCGUUGCCUUCGGCGGGGGUAAAGUUGGUCGUUUUCGCUGCUAAAGAUGUUUGCGCGAACAGAAGCAGCCAAGCUUACACCCAGACGGAGUAUGGUUCGUUACGUCAUGCGAGUUCAAAAUGUAUCCAACCACAUGUGUCCCUCUUUUCAUCUGUGCCGUCUGCGGGCGCUCAGAUCGAGUACACAGCAGAUUGCAAUGAAACAAUGCAGUACUUUGUGUUAG